rnacentral:rRNA from 1 species
GAUGAACGCUGGCGGCGUGCUUAACACAUGCAAGUCGAACGAGAAGUGAAGACGGAAACCUUCGGGCGGAAGGCUUUAUUUCGAGUGGCGGACGGGUGAGUAACGCGUGGGUAACCUGCCUCAUACAGGGGGAUAACAGUUGGAAACGACUGUUAAUACCGCAUAAGACCACAGCACCGCAUGGUGCGGGGGUAAAAACUCCGGUGGUAUGAGAUGGACCCGCGUUCGAUUAGCCAGUUGGCGGGGUAACGGCCCUCCAAAGCGACGAUCGAUAGCCGAUCUGAGAGGAUGACCGGCCACAUUGGGACUGAGACACGGCCCAAACUCCUACGGGAAGCAGCAGUGGGGAAUAUUGCACAAUGGGGGAAACCCUGAUGCAGCGACGCCGCGUGAGUGAAGAAGUAUUUCGGUAUGUAAAGCUCUAUCAGCAGGGAAGAAAAUGACGGUACCUGAGUAAGAAGCCCCGGCUAACUACGUG